rnacentral:rRNA from 1 species
UGGGGAAUAUUGCACAAUGGGCGCAAGCCUGAUGCAGCCAUGCCGCGUGUGUGAAGAAGGCCUUCGGGUUGUAAAGCACUUUCAGCGGGGAGGAAGGCGUUAAGGUUAAUAACCUUGGCGAUUGACGUUACCCGCAGAAGAAGCACCGGCUAACUCCGUGCCAGCAGCCGCGGUAAUACGGAGGGUGCAAGCGUUAAUCGGAAUUACUGGGCGUAAAGCGCACGCAGGCGGUCUGUCAAGUCGGAUGUGAAAUCCCCGGGCUCAACCUAGGAACUGCAUUCGAAACUGGCAGGCUAGAGUCUUGUAGAGGGGGGUAGAAUUCCAGGUGUAGCGGUGAAAUGCGUAGAGAUCUGGAGGAAUACCGGUGGCGAAGGCGGCCCCCUGGACAAAGACUGACGCUCAGGUGCGAAAGCGUGGGGAGCAAACAGG